rnacentral:rRNA from 1 species
GAUGAACGCUGGCGGCGUGCCUAAUACAUGCAAGUCGAGCGAACGGACGAGAAGCUUGCUUCUCUGAUGUUAGCGGCGGACGGGUGAGUAACACGUGGAUAACCUACCUAUAAGACUGGGAUAACUUCGGGAAACCGGAGCUAAUACCGGAUAAUAUUUUGAACCGCAUGGUUCAAAAGUGAAAGACGGUCUUGCUGUCACUUAUAGAUGGAUCCGCGCUGCAUUAGCUAGUUGGUAAGGUAACGGCUUACCAAGGCAACGAUGCAUAGCCGACCUGAGAGGGUGAUCGGCCACACUGGAACUGAGACACGGUCCAGACUCCUACGGGAGGCAGCAGUAGGGAAUCUUCCGCAAUGGGCGAAAGCCUGACGGAGCAACGCCGCGUGAGUGAUGAAGGUCUUCGGAUCGUAAAACUCUGUUAUUAGGGAAGAACAUAUGUGUAAGUAACUGUGCACAUCUUGACGGUACCUAAUCAGAAAGCCACGGCUAACUACGUGCCAGCAGCCGCGGUAAUACGUAGGUGGCAAGCGUUAUCCGGAAUUAUUGGGCGUAAAGCGCGCGUAGGCGGUUUUUUAAGUCUGAUGUGAAAGCCCACGGCUCAACCGUGGAGGGUCAUUGGAAACUGGAAAACUUGAGUGCAGAAGAGGAAAGUGGAAUUCCAUGUGUAGCGGUGAAAUGCGCAGAGAUAUGGAGGAACACCAGUGGCGAAGGCGACUUUCUGGCCUGUAACUGACGCUGAUGUGCGAAAGCGUGGGGAUCAAACAGGAUUAGAUACCCUGGUAGUCCACGCCGUAAACGAUGAGUGCUAAGUGUUAGGGGGUUUCCGCCCCUUGGUGCUGCAGCUAACGCAUUAAGCACUCCGCCUGGGGAGUACGACCGCAAGGUUGAAACUCAAAGGAAUUGACGGGGACCCGCACAAGCGGUGGAGCAUGUGGUUUAAUUCGAAGCAACGCGAAGAACCUUACCAAAUCUUGACAUCCUUUGACAACUCUAGAGAUAGAGCCUUCCCCUUCGGGGGACAAAGUGACAGGUGGUGCAUGGUUGUCGUCAGCUCGUGUCGUGAGAUGUUGGGUUAAGUCCCGCAACGAGCGCAACCCUUAAGCUUAGUUGCCAUCAUUAAGUUGGGCACUCUAAGUUGACUGCCGGUGACAAACCGGAGGAAGGUGGGGAUGACGUCAAAUCAUCAUGCCCCUUAUGAUUUGGGCUACACACGUGCUACAAUGGACAAUACAAAGGGCAGCGAAACCGCGAGGUCAAGCAAAUCCCAUAAAGUUGUUCUCAGUUCGGAUUGUAGUCUGCAACUCGACUACAUGAAGCUGGAAUCGCUAGUAAUCGUAGAUCAGCAUGCUACGGUGAAUACGUUCCCGGGUCU